GCCCUAGGCUGUCCUCUCCCUGCCAGCCUGGUCUGAAGCUGUGCCCUGUUGGGAUGGAGAUAUUGUGGAUAGAGCUAAUAUGUGCCAGCUUGACCCUCCCUACGCCAAUUUAUUUGGAAUGUCCAAAGGGAGCUAAAGAAAAGCAAGGAAGUAGAAGAAAACUUGCUCAAGUAUUACUUGCUUACUUGGAAGUAAGUCCUACUAAGUGAGGCCUACUCCCCAAGCACGUGUGCCCAAGACUGCAGCCAUGUUUUGCUCUUUAGCAGGCAUUGCCAACACACUUUGUAGCUGUCAAAAUAUUGCUCUUUUUCUCUUGUCAGCCCCCAAAUUUAAAACGUGGAAUUUCUCAAGAAGCUGAAUUGCACCACGUCUUGAUACCACCUUCUGCACUUUUUCUGCAUCCCCCCAGGAUCUCAGCAUGCACAUCACAGCCCUGGUCCUUUCUGCAUGCACCGCAUGUGCUCUGCUGCUGAGCCGUGGACCCCCAUCCCAAAUGAAUAAAUUAAUCAAAUUAAUAAUGUUGAAAUGUAGCCCAAGGCUCAAGAUGGGAGAUGUUUCAGGAUUGUGCACCUUAACUCCCUGCUCUUUUAAAGGGAGAGAAGAGACUUACACAUUGCUUUUUCCUUGUGAAUACAUGCAAAAUAAUUAUUAAAAGAGAUUUAUGCUGGAAAAGUAGACUUUGUUGGAAACUAUGAAAAUUCAUUUGAAUGAAUGGAAGUAGUAUUGAACCAGAUGACCAUUUGUCUUUUUCUUUGCUUACAAAAAUGUAUAUUUGACCAAUACCGUUCUAUUGUGUUUUUCAAAAUAAGUAUUCCUUUGCACUAACUUGUACUUUAAACACGUGAGUACCUUGUCAAGUUUGCCAAUAAUUUCCUGGAAAUCCUUGCCUGCUUUUAAUAGGCAGAGGUCAGGUGGCUGCAAAGCAUUGUGCUCCACUUCUUCCUCUGCUCCAUUUCAAUCUGCCCUACAACUUUGCUAAAAGAAAAAGUUGUUUGGUCUAGGUGAAAUGUGUGUAAAUACAACAGGCUUCCUAUAUUGUGUUUGAAACACACGUGCCAUGGGAUUCUGUGCAUUUUUACUCUGAAGCAAAUUCCACUGCAUUCCACAGAGUAAGUAUGUGUAGCAUUGUAGUCUUAAUUUGAAACCCUGUUGGUUUCUUUUAGUGGACUUUACUUAUCAUGUAGGUAUGCUUAGACAGGAACAUCAGGGAGAAGAGCCCUGAAGCCAGAAUCCCCCUCCAGGUGUUGUUGGACUCUGGCUCCCACCAGUCCCAACCAGCAUGGCCAGUGGUCGGGGUGGUGGGAGAUUUGGUCAAAAACACCUGGAGGGUGCCAGGUUGAGGAAGGCUGCCUUGAGCACAGGACACUCAGUCCUCUGUGUGUUUACUUUGAAAUACAACUUCAGUAGGGCUCACUCCCCACCUAAGUUUGCAUAGGAUUGGUGGCCCUCGCCCUGCACUCCUAAGCACACAACCUUCAGGGAAGCCUCACUGAAGUCAAUGCAACCUCCUGAGUAAACCUGAUCAGGACAGGAUCAACAUGUUACAGCUUGCCCUUGCCUUUUCUUGAAUCUAUAGAUUUAAUGUGAAGCAAGAACAUUGGGGCUAGAAAUUCCAGCUAUGUUGCUGUUAAUAAAUUGAAAUUUGUUCCAUUAAUCUUAGGCAGCUGAGCUCUAACAUGCCAUGCACUUGACUGGCUGUGCAGGGAACUUGGAAAUGCAUUGCUCUGUAUUAGUAAGAGUUGGCAACAGCUUCUGGGGCUCCUCCAAAAGCCUGCUUCUCCCAUGCCUAGAUAGCACAGUUCUGAGCAGUUUUCCACUUAAGCCACACUUUCUAAUAUUAUUAUUUAUUCAAUUUGUAUACCACCCUAUACCCGCAGGUCUCAGAGCGGUUCACAACAUAAAAUCACAGUAUAAAAACACAAAAUACUGAAUAAAAACAAAAAACAAUCCAAUAAUCACCCACUUCCACAACACAUUUUAAAAGGGCAUCAGAUGUCAGUCAGCCAAAGGCCUGAUUAGAGAGGAAUGUUUUUGCCUGGCGCCUGAAAGUGUAGAAUGAAGGUGCCAGGCAGACCUCCCUGGGGAGAGCAUCCCACAAAUGGGGAGCCACUGCAGAAAAAGCCUGUUCUCAUAUUGCCACCCUCUGGACCUCUUGUGGAGGAGGCAGCUAGGUUCAUCCAUUCUGACACAACCUUACAAAGGGCUGCUUAUGACUUUGUGGAAAGCAUGGCCUCCAUGGGGCUGUCCCUGAAUAAGUUUCUGAACCCCUCAGUGUUUUGAAUCCAUUGUGCAAGCUCUACUGCAUGUGACUCAGAGCAGAGGUGCUUAAUAGGAGAUGGCCUCUCUACACCCAUGAUGAGGACAAUCCACACCCUAACAUUCUCCUUUGAAAGCCUUGCUGAAAUGCUAGAAUCCGCAAAGACUUCAACAUCUCCUUUCACUUGGGCAGCUUGUUUCGGAGGGACCUUUUCACAAAGGACCCCUUGACUUUCAACUGCCUCACCUAUAGCUUAAAAGGGUCAGCCAGAUAGAUCCUUCUGGGAAUCUUACCAGGAAGGAGUCACAAAGGUGAUGGAUAACUCCAACUGCUCCUGUAUUUGAAGACUUCAUUUAGCUCUCAAGACCAUGAUUACCCAGUUUCCUUUUGAAAACCCCUAAGCCAGUCUUAUGGCAGUGGGCCUCAUCUAUUAUUAUUUUUCAUACUGUGUGGAAAAGUAAUUUCUUGUGUCUGGCUGAGCCAGAGGAGAGAAAUUUCCCUUGCCUAUAAGGUUGCAGGCCUAGGCUCCACUUUUACGAGAGAGCAAGCCCAUUGAAUUCAACAGGACUGCCAAGUAAACGUGUUUAAAAUCACAUGAUGGUGCUGCUUGCUUUGCAUCUGUGGAACUGUCACUUGGUCCAGAAUCUGCCUAAACCAAAAUGCUUGGAUGUGAUCCUGUUGAAGCAAAUCCAAGUUAUUUGUAUUAAUUUAGGCUACAGAUGGAUGAAGUUGUAAUAAUUUUUCUCUCCUUGCCAAGCAUCCACCCAGUGGGUUCAAGGAAAAAGCAAACCAAUCCAUCAUCAAAACUGUGUUUUCUUGUUUUAUUAAGAAAAAAGUUUUGGAACUGUUUGUACAUUUAGCUAUGGGACUCCCACUAAUAACUCUCAGAUGUGAAUUGUGCUCCUGUAGAAAGAGUACCGGUAAUUUUUUUUCUCUGAGCAAAAUUUAUAUGGUACAGUUGCUUGAUCCAAACAAGUAAUUGGGGAUAACUGUUUUAAUAAAACAGAAUGAACAUUUUAA